rnacentral:rRNA from 1 species
AACGAACGCUGGCGGCGUGCCUAACACAUGCAAGUCGAGCGCGAAAAGGGCAACCUGAGUAGAGCGGCGCACGGGUGCGUAACACGUGGGUAAUCUGCCUCAAAGUUUGGGAUAACCUUCCGAAAGGUUGGCUAAUACCGGAUAAGCUCACGAGGUCUUCGGACUUUGUGGGAAAAGGUGGCCUCUGUCUACAAGCCAUCACUUUGAGAUGAGCCCGCGGCCCAUCAGCUAGUUGGCGGGGUAAAAGCCCACCAAGGCUACGACGGGUAGCUGGUCUGAGAGGACGAUCAGCCACACUGGAACUGAGACACGGUCCAGACUCCUACGGGAGGCAGCAGUGGGGAAUUUUUGCACAAUGGGCGAAAGCCUGAUGCAGCAACGCCGCGUGUGUGAUGAAGGCCUUCGGGUUGUAAACCUCUUUCAGCAGGGAAGAUAAUGACGGUACCUGACUAAGAAGCUCCGGCUAAAAUACGUGCCAGCAGCAGCCGC